ACGAACGCUGGCGGCGUGCUUAACACAUGCAAGUCGAACGGAGCACCCUUGAAUGAGACUUCGGUCAAAGGAAAGGAAUGCUUAGUGGCGGACUGGUGAGUAACGCGUGAGGAACCUGCCUUUCAGAGGGGGACAACAGCUGGAAACGGCUGCUAAUACCGCAUGACGCAUUCGGAUGGCAUCAUCUGAAUGCCAAAGAUUUAUCGCUGAAAGAUGGCCUCGCGUCUGAUUAGCUAGUUGGUAAGGUAACGGCUUACCAAGGCGACGAUCAGUAGCCGGCUUGAGAGAGUGAACGGCCACAUUGGGACUGAGACACGGCCCAAACUCCUACGGGAGGCAGCAGUGGGGAAUAUUGCACAAUGGGGGAAACCCUGAUGCAGCGACGCCGCGUGAGUGAAGAAGUAUUUCGGUAUGUAAAGCUCUAUCAGCAGGGAAGAUAAUGACGGUACCUGACUAAGAAGCCCCGGCUAACUACGUG
rnacentral:rRNA from 1 species